AAUAAUUACAAUACAAUACUCUCAAGUCUUAAGGCCAAACAAAAUCAACACAAAUUUUGGGAAGUUCUUCAAAAUCCUUAGCUAAAUUGAAGUCGGUGUUGAAAUUAUUUGAGGAAUUGUUGAAUACCCUUUUGUUGGAAACUCCUUUGUCAGCCACAACAGCACAAGAAUUAGAAACUGAAGAAGAAGGUGAAGUUAAAUAAUCAGUAUUUUCAUGUCUAAGUAGCUCAGCUAACAAAAGAACAAGAGAAGACAUUUGAUAAUAAAAAAAAAAUUCUAAUGAAAGAUGUUUUCAAGAUUUUUCCUUUGUUUGAUACAAUGAAUUCAAAGCACACAAAUUCCUAAUUUAUAAGCAACCAAAAGUAGGUGAAUAGUAGUAUUAAAAGCUGGCUUGACUUAAAUACUGUGUGAUAUUUAUUUAAUAUAAGAAAACAAGGGGCAAACAAAAGCAGUUGGUUCAGGAAAUAUGUGGUGAAUCCUGGAGAUUUCGAUUUAGUUCAUGUUUAUACUCCGUUCAUAUUUAUAUGUCAUCCUUAUUAAACAUAGACACUUCUCAAUAUUUGUCAUUUCACAAAAAUAAGGUAUAAAUGACACUAUUUUAUAUAUAUAUAUAUAUAUAUAUAUAUAUAGAUAUAUAGAGGAUAGUGCUAAAUGGCCAGAAAAUUUGGCCAGCCAGAAAUUUAAAAAAUCUAUAAUAUCUUUUUUAUUUAAAAUAAACUAAUCUUUUUUCAUUUUUAAAUUAAAAGAUAUUAAAGUUAAAAAGGUAAAAUACCAUUCUAGCCAAAAAAAUUGGCCAAAAGGAUUUUUCUAUAUAUAUAUAUAUUUGACUAACAUAGAAUAACUAAGUAAAUAGUUCAUGUGUAUUGGUCAGAAUAAUUAAUCAAAAUAAACUAAAUCAUAUUCAUUGAUUGAAAACUUGACUUUACGAGAACACUUAAUAAGGAUACAAUGAUAAAAUUACUUAAUUUCUUAGAAACGUGAAAUCUAAAAUAGUGACAACUAAAAAAAACCAACGUCAUAUGAAUAUCUUACUUAAUUAAUAAAUUUGAGAAAAUCUUAAUAGUUUAGUUGAUUGACUAUUUGAACACUCACCACCUUAUUGAUCCAUACUAUAAUCCCCUCCUCUAUUUUCCCAUUCCCUCCCCCAAUUUAAAUAAUAAUAAUAAUAAAUUUAUUUUAACUUUAUAAUUUUUUUUUAUGUAUAAUAACAUAAAUAUAAAAUUAGAAUAAAUAUAUUGGGUUAGACAGCACAAGUUACCGACGCGGCCCCUAGCUAUUUGUUCCUGUUGUUUUGUAGUGUAUUCUUGUUUUUGUCAAUAGUUUCGUCUUUUUGUGACUCUGCCUUUCAUUUAUAGAGGGCUCAGCCACCGCUACCUGUUUUCUCAAAAGUACUACGCUAAAAACCACGGCCUUUUGCGGUGCGAUUCUUUGUUAUUUUUAUUAAUAUAUUUCAUUAUAAAUACAUAAAUACACACGUAAUUUCAAUCUUAGAUGGUUAAGUGUCUAAAUAUAUACUGUUAAAAUUAGCGUGUUUAUUUAUUACAUAGCUGAGAUCAAGUUUAAGGGUGUCUUUUUUUUUUCCAAUUCCAUUUUCUUCGGUCAAUUCGCGGGGUUAGAUAUCGUUUUUGACUCAAUUAAGCUUAAUUGGGGUUCAAAAAAAGUAAGCUUUACUUUGGGUUUAUUUGUGGAAUAUAUUUUAGUAAAUUCUAGCCGUAUAAAAGUUUUUACGUCAUAUAUAUAAAUAUAAAAAUAAUAAUAUAUCUUUUUAGUUAAUACCCUUUGCAGAUAGUCGUUAGAUUCGAGCUCUGAGUAUAAUUUUUUUUUUUUUUAGGAAGUGUUACUCCCAAAUGGAUAGCAUGAAUAAUAAAAUAAAUAACCCUAGUUGUCAACUCUUUUGUCUUGAAUCUUUGAACUCCCAAAUCUUUGAAGUAUUCUCUAUUGAAUAAAUAACUCACUCAACAGUUCACGUAGGAACCUCAAAAAGUGAGAUAGUUUAAAUGUGUUUUUAAUCCUUAACUUUAAUGUAAUUGAAAUCUCAAAGGACAAAGAAAACUUAAUUAUUAUGAUGAAAUAUUACUCUAUUAUAGAAAACGGUUAUUCUAGAAAGAAUGAAAACUUUUCUCAAUUCAAGAAAAUAUAAAAGUUUGUAAAGAUUAGUAUGAUUGCAAAUAAACUACAACUUUGUUAAUAAAAUAUCUGAAGUUUAAAUUGAAUAACAACCAGAGAGAAAGUUGAGAUGAAGCAAUUCCUCUCGUGUAUCUUACGUAAGUUUCAAGUGGCUGUGGACUUCCCCAUUGACCUAGUGAGUAUUUUCACCAGAUAGACACUUUUGUGUCCUCACAAAUUAAACCAACCAUAUGAAGGGACCAAACUUGGCUGGGCCUAACAAUCCUAACCACUAUUUUAAGGUUUGAUACAUUUCUCGUUAUGAAAGUGACUCAUAUAUAUUCAUAAUGUUAUACAAAUGGAUCACAUACAUCCUUUUCUUUUUACGGAAGUGAAAAAAAUAAUGUUAAUUUAAUUUUUUAAUUAUUUUUUUGGAAAAAAAUAUAAUUCAUAUGGGGUAUAUUUGAUCCUCCUCAUGCGUAUUUUUUUUUUUUUUUGUUUUAAUAACUAAUUUAAAUUUAUUAUUUUGAUGGUCAAAGUUGUAUGUUUCACUAAUUUUCUUGUAAAAAUUUUCACAGAUGCCCCAUUUUUUUUAGGGAAAAUUAUAUAAAAUAGCAAACUAUUAAUUCAAAUUAAAUGUUAUAACCACAGUCCACAGUUUCAUUUAAUUCGAAUUCAUACCAAACACUUUGUCAUUCGCCUCUCUCCCCAGAAAUCUCGCUCACCACUCUCCCUGAUCUCGCUCGCAUCUCUCACUUUAUACAAACACAAAUGUAUAAAUUGUGUUUGAAUAAAGCGAGAGAAAACUGUAUAUACAAAUACAAAUACAUAUACAUAUAUUUUUGUCGUAUACACUUAUAAUUAUACAAUAUAAAUCUUCCCCUGCCCAGUUUUCUUUUGACUUUCUCUCUUUCUCGUUUUAUACAAACAAAAAUUAUACAAAAUACAAUGUAUAAUUUGUGUUUGUAUAAAGCGAGAGAGCAACCCGAUUCAAUUGUAUACGAAUUCAAAUUUUAUGCAAAUAUACAAACGCAAUUUUCAUAGACACAGAAACCCGAUUUAUACAAAUUUCUGCGAUUUAUACAAAUCAGAUGCCUGCGAUUUUAUACAAAUCAAAGUUGCCUGCGAUUUUUAUACAGAUCUGAUGCUCUAUAGCAAACUAUGUUUGCUAUGGAGCACAAAUAGCAAAAUUGUAGCUAUAGAGCGCUAAUAUGAUUUUUAUAUUUGCUAAACCUAAAAUUUACUCUUUUUUAAUUUUAUUUUUACAAAUACAAAAAAGAAAUUACAAUAUAGCCACAAAAAAAAUUAAUUUUAAAUUUUUUCUUUACACUAAAGAAUGAAAGAAACUCAAAUAAUUAUAAUUAAAGAAGUCAAUAAAUAAUUUUUGUAUGAAAAUGAUUAAAAUACACCUUAAACUUUGCUAGAGGAUCAUAUAUAUGACCCUAUAUGAUUUUUUCUAAAAUUAAAGUCAAAAAAAUAAAUUUAAAACUAAUUUUUUCACUUUCAUUAGAUGAAGGGUAUAUGUGAACUCCUAUUGUAACGGUAAGAGUAUAUGUGAGUCAUUUGUAUAACGAUAAGGGUAUAUAUGAGUCACUUUCAUAAUGAGAAGUAUAUCAGAUCUAAAUGACAAAGUUAAGAAGUAUAUCAGACCAUUUUCCCUAUUUUAUUUACUAUACUAUGAGAGGGAGUUUCAAAGUGCUCAUCAACAGGCCAACAUGACAUGCCUGCUUGAGCACUUUGAGGGUGUUCCUAUAAUUUUUUGGUAAUUCAUUCGUUUUAACUAGUUUGUUUUAUUUUUUAGAUUAUAUAUAUUUAAAAAUUGUGUAAAACAUAAUACUUAUAAAUCAUAAUAAUUGACAAUUUAAAUUUUUUGAAAAAAAUAUUUUUUAAAAAUCGACUGAUUUUUGAAAUUAAUAUAUUGUUGAAUUGUGUAAAGAAAUAUGGUAAUUGACAACUUAAAAUAUUUUUAAAAAGAUAUGUAAAAAAUUCAACCGAUUCUUCAAUUAAUCUAUCGGUGAUACAUAAAAUAGGACAAAAAGAAGUAACAUGUACAGUAUUAUUUAAUUUGAAAACUAUGUAAAAAGUAUUAUAAAUCUCAAUAAUUAACAACAAUUGAUUGGGUCUUUAAAUUCUAUCUAUGCUACACACAUUGGGACAAAGGCAAUAACAUAUACUCCUUUCGUCCCAUUUUAUGUGAGGUAGUUUGACUCAGCACGGAGUUUAAGAAAGAAAGAAAGACUUUUAAAAUUUGUGGUCCAAAAUGAAUGAUAGAAAUUUGUGUGGCUGUAAAUCAUUUUCAUUAAGUGUAAAUAGACAUUUUAUAGUUAAAUUGUUACUUAAUAUAUAAAUGUGUCAUUCUUUUUGGGACUAAUGAAAAUCUAAAAAUGAAAGUAAGUCACAUAAAUUGGGAUAGAGAGAGUAUUAUUUAACAAUUACGUAAAAUGUACUAUAACUCACCAUAAUUAAUAACUUAAAAUAUUUAAAAAUUAUACUAAAAUUUAAUUGACUCUCUAAAUUGAGAUAAAAAGUAAUAGAUAUUAAGCAUGUAUCUGGUAUAUUAUUGAAGAUUUAGUCUUGGCAAGCUUGAUUUUAGACGUGUAUAGCAGAAAUUUGAUUUGAGAAAGUAAAAUUUCUAACGCAUAAUUUGAUGAAUGGCUAAACUUACAUAAAUUUAUAAAAAUAAUCCGUGGAUUAAAUAAGGCCCCAAAAUCAGUGAUCUAUGACCAUGCACCCCUUUCGAUCUUCUUCUUCGUUCUUUAGUUAUAUACUUAGGAGAAAAUGGUCAAAUGACCCCUCAACGUAUAUUCGAAUUUUUAACUAUACACUUAAACUUCACGAGAAUUCUAUCACCCCUCUGUACUAUUUAAAAUUGAAAUUAUUACCUCCCUGAAUGUUUAGUUGGCAUAGUGAAUGUAUUUCACUCUCUUUGGGAGAGUGAGUAUCAAAUCUAUUAUUAAAACCUUAAUUUUAAUAUCUCUUUUCAAUAAAUAUAUAUGCAUUUUUAAUUAUUUAUUUUUCUUAUUUGUUUUCUUUCUUCUCCAACAAUAUAAACAAAUCUCUCAAUCUUUCACCAUCUCUAAGUCGUGCUGCCCAUCUUCACCAGAUUCACUAUUAUUGAUUCCAAACAAAUUUUCAAACUCAUAAAACUCUUGCAAAAUCAAUCAACCUAAAUCAAUUGUAGAUAAGUUUACAUAUAUUUAUAUCACCCCAAGAUACUUUAGAUUCGAUUUGAGAAAAAUCAAUAUGGGUUUACUUCAAACCCAAUUGAACCCACCGAAUUUUAUUUUAUUUUUACUAAUAGAUCAUUUAAUUAUCAAUCUCAAAUCUCAAUCAAUCAAUUAUAUCUCAAAAAUUAUCGCUAUUAAUCUCGUUAAUUCAUCAACCGUCGUAGAAUCAAUCUCUUCCUCUUCGAAAUUGUUGUCGCAAUCGAUGAUGACGUGGAAGACAUUGUAGGCUCCUCCUCCUCAUCUUCCUUGAGAGGAUUACUUAUCUUUGGUGACCACCAUUAAUGGCAAUAUUUUGCCAUGUUCGUCUUCUCUCCUGCCUUCACUUUUUUUUAAAUUUGAUUUUUAGGUUUCAAAUGAGCAAAACCAGUAUAUCUCUGGAUAAGCUCUGAAAUCAUUAUUCAACUUUUUUCCUUAAAGACCCAAUUUUAUGGACUUAUGGUGUUCUAGUAAUGUUGAAAAUGGUGGAAGUACUUUAGGUGUUUGAAGGGAUGGGUCAGAAUAUAGAAGAAAAGGGUAAAUAAAUAUAAAAAAUAAAAAAUAUAUAUUUGAUGAGGUGUCAAACAUGCCACCAUAGAUCUGGUUAUAUCCUUUUAAGGGUAUAAUUAAUUCAUCUUUAAACAGUUCAGGGGUGAUAGGACUCCCGUGAAGUUUAACUGUAUAGUUGGAAAUUCGGAUAUAUGUUGAGGGGGCAUUCGGCCAUUUUCUCAAGAAAAAAACAAUAACUUGUGAUUCUAAAUACUCCAAUAAGAUUCCCUGACUAGAAAAAUAUCUCAUUUAAUUUGAUGUACAAUUAAAAAAUCAAAAUUAAAUUUUUUUUAACAUAAUUUUUUUUUUUCAUGUUUUACGGGAAAAAAAAGCAACAUUAUAUCAUAGAAAAUGAAACAAAUGGAAUAGUGCUUAUGAAAACAAAUGGAAUGAGAAAAACAGUAAAGAAAUAAGAUUUAUUUCGAGGAGAAAGAUACGAUGGUGACAUAUAUAAUAAAAAAAAUUAGUGAAUAAUUACAAUACAAUACUCUCAAGUCUUAAGGCCAAACAAAAUCAACACAAAUUUUGGGAAGUUCUUCAAAAUCCUCAGCUAAAUUGAAGUCAGUGUUGAAAUUAGUUGAGGAAUUGUUGAAUACCCUUUGGUUGGAAACUCCUUUGGCAGCCACAACAGCACAAGAAUCAGCAACUGAAGAAGAAGGUGAAGUCAAAUAAUCAGUAUUUUCAUGUCUAAGAAACUCAGCUAACAAAAGAACGAGAGAAGCCAUUUGAUAAAAAAAAAAAUCUAAUGAGAGAGGUUUUCAAGAUUUUUCCUUUGUUUGAUACAAUGAAUUCAAGGCACACAAAUUUUUCCUAAUUUAUAAGCAAUCAAAAGUAGGUGAAUAGUAGUAGUAUUAAAAGCCGGUUUGGCUUAGAUACUAUACUCUGUG
rnacentral:lncRNA from 1 species